UGGGGAAUUUUCCGCAAUGUGCGAAAGCCUGACGGAGCAACGCCGCGUGAGGGAGGAAGGCUUUUGGGUUGUAAACCUCUUUUCUCAAGGAAGAUAGUGACGGUACUUGCGGAAUCAGCAUCGGCAAACUCCGUGCCAGCAGCCGCCGUAAUACGGAGGAUGCAAGAGUUAUCCGGAAUAAUUGGGCGUAAAGCGUUCGUAGGUGGUUUUGUAAGUCUGCUGAUAAAGCGUGUAGCUCAACUACAUAUAGGCAGUGGAAACUACAAGACUUGAGUGCGUUCGGGGCAGAGGGAAUUCCUAGUGUAGCGGUGAAAUGCGUAGAGAUUAGGAAGAACACCGGUGGCGAAAGCGCUCUGCUAGGCCGCAACUGACACUGAGGGACGAAAGCUAGGGGAGCGAAUGGGAUUAGAUACCCCGGUAGUCC
rnacentral:rRNA from 1 species